UUAUGUAGUCAGGGUUGCGCAAGCCUGCGUGCUCGGUGGCCGUCAGCGAAAGGAGCCCGCCGACUAUCAGAACUUUUUUUACUAUUUACACGUUGUGGCACACACAGGAAUUACAGAAUCACUGAAACAAUUAGGUUAGAAAAGACCUCUAACAUGACGUGAAGUCCAGCCUGUGAUCGAACACCACCAUGUCAACAGACCAUGGCACUGAGUGCCACAUCCAGUCUUUCCUUAAACACCUCCAGGAGCAGUGACUCCACCACCUCCCUGGGCAUUCCAAUGUCUAAUCGCCUCUUCUGUGAAGAAAUUCUUCCAGCCUAAACUUCCCUUGACACAGCUAAAGCCUUGCCCUCUCAUCCUCUCACUUGUUACCUGGAAGAAGAGACCGACCCCCACCUGGCUACAGUCUUCUUUCAGGGAGCUGUAGAGAGAUAAGGCCCCCCCUGAACCUCCUCUACCCCAUACUAAGCACCUCCAGCACCUUCAGCCACUCCUCAUAAGACUUGUUCACCGACUACAAGUUGCAUAGUUCUCUUAUUUAUUAGUACUCUAUCUUCUAUUGGUUAAUGUUCCCUCAGUUCUCAUGCUAAUUAGUCUGCAGCUUAGCAUUAAUCUUUUUUUUUUCGUGGGUUGGUGGUGAGGAUUACCUUUUACCCAAUUGGAGCUGAUUCAGCACAAUUGCUGAGUUGUUUUUAUUAGUUUCUUCCUUAUCUUGUGAGCUCUCCUAAAUGUCCUUGUGGCCUGUAAAUUCUGUGUUGUGUCCACUAUCAGCAGUGUAUCCUUCUUCUCAAGCUCCCCCUAGGUCUGAAGGCAUGGAAGCAUGUUACGCUCUAAACCUUUACAAGGCAAUUUUACUGAAAAUUAAUUUGUGUUUCUAACCCCUGAGCAUCACUUAGCGCUUGUUGGCUACUCUGUUUCAUGGAUAAAAUGUCCUUUCUUUUGACCAGGCUUGAAAUAUACAAAGAUCAAACAUUAAGGAACAUCCUUUCUUAAGAAAAAUUUUACAUUUACCACAUUUUGUAACAAGAGGGGGUUUCUUCGCUGUAUUUUUGGGAACCUGGUGGUGGAAAAAGCAGGUGCACAGAUUGAUUCAGCCUCUCCCUCCCACUUGCUUGCUGGUAGAAGGGUGUUUGACACAGUGCCCAGAGGAAGCAGGUGCUGAUUCUUGGGCUUCUCCAGUGGAAGCAAUGCUAAAAAUAGGCAUCAGCCUCAUUCUGCUCAAUGUGGUAACACUGGCAUUCAUAGCAGGGCCCAAAUGGCAUCAAGAUUGUCCUGGAAAAAUAGACAUGGCUCCUUUAGAAUAAUUCUUUGGACCUGAGAAGGGUAAAUCCAGCAUGAGGUAAUUGGGACAUGCAUCCUGUCCUGUUAGGCUGGGGCUGAGUUUUCCUUCAGUCUCUCCCUGCAAUGCUAUUUUACGGUAUUUGGAGUCGGUUGUACCUCUUGCCAGAGUUUUUUUCUGGUGGGAAAAGACAAAAAGAUGCCCAAGCUCUGAGCACGUGAAUGGUUGUGCCAUGUGUCAUUGGGUAUACUGGUUUAGUUUUCCCCCUAAUAAAACAAAAAUAAAUGUGUCUUGUUGGUGUUUCUUCCUACUUUUCCUCCUCUCUGUUACUGACUGGCGAUGUGUUUUUAGGAGUGUCCAAAUACUGAUUUUAUGAACUCUAUAACUGAAGCACUGCAAGCAGCAGUAACCACUGCGCUGCUAUUCCAUGCACCUGCAAGGAGGGGCGAAUGCUGAACGUUUUUCCAGAAUUCCAAUAUCCAGCAGUUUUGCCACAAGGUGGCAUCAAUGACAGUAUAUGAGACCUCGCAGGAAUGACUUUUGCCCGAUCAAUGUCCGCAAGGAGGUAGUACACAAAUCUAUUACUUCCAAGGAGCUUUUACUUGAAGGUCAACCUAACAAAAAGAUCAAAGUUGAAACAUACAGAAUUGUUUCUCUAGAAGGGAGUGACAUGACAAGCUCUUCCUCAUUUCCUGAAAUGUAGGAAGAUUGAGGCAUCUGGGCUUAAGAAGUCUGCUUAUAAAAGAGUAUUUGGAAGGUGCACUGGCUUUGAGAAACAGGGUUGUUUUUAACCGGAGAGGGGAAACACAGCAGUUGAACAAUGAUGAUAUAAAGAGAGGAAAGGACAAAAUGACAGAACAGUUAGCAUUUGGCUUUUACUGUACGUACAAGAUUAGAUGUCAAAAAAACCUGAGUGAGGCAAGGCAGGAGACAUGACUGUGUUGUCAUUACAUAAGUCUCAAAACACCUCCAUGAAAACUAUGCAUUGAAACAACUGCUUUUCCAGCAAUGAUGUUCUGUAGAUGUGAUGUGGGAGAAAAACACCCCGGUCUCUUUCAGAGCCUUGGACAGUUACUUGUGUGUAUGACCAGUCAUGAAUUUGUAAUUUUAAAACAGACUAAUAAGAUGUUUGAUUUACCAGCACGGUCUCGAGGUGGAUUACUGGAGUGUGGAUUGGAAUCGAUUGUAUCUUUUAGUUGUCUGUAUGACCAGCUGUGAAUAUUUUCCUUCCAGGUGUACAUAUAACUAUUUUUUGACCACUAGAGGGUAGUGCCAUCCCAAACAAUUGCUUUUGGUGUGCUCCUGUAGGAGCUUUAUUUUGUAUUUUGCCGCAAGGAGAUGAGAAUAGUAGAUCUCCUGUGUAUAAGUUCAAGCCCUUAAUUUUGUAAUUUGUAAAAAUGAGUGUUCAAACCUGAAAUGUCUCUUAAAAUACACUUGACAACAUAUAGUUUUUUGGUGCUGAAUUAGUUAGGCUCAUCAGUUUCUUCUUGGUGGCAUUGGUGGCUCUGUCUCAUUCCAGGCUGUCCUUGUGUAUGCUCUCCUCCCUCAACAGGAUUCCCUCAUGCUCCUGCCUGCUCUAUACCAGGACAUAUAUAAUUUCCCUUUUGUCUGAUUUGUCCCAUUUUCUUUUCUCCUCAUUUCAGAAUCCCUCCACAUCCUUUCCUCCCAUGUUCCCUACCAUGCAAAUCAGUCUUUGUAUUUUCCUUCCUAUUUAUUUGUAUUCCUCCUUUCCUUCUUUGCCCAAGCCCUUGUAUUUCCUGCUUUUUCUAAGUGCAGUUAACUGUUCUUAGGUGUGUGUAUGGUUUCAGCCCCUUUCCUUCCUAAAAUUCCCAUACCUACUUCCUUUUUCUAUGGCAGGCUGAGUCAUUCAGGGGGUGUCAACAUGCCAAGAAUUCUUGGAUGGGUUUUGCAGGGGUGAAAUUGGGCAUUAUCAUGCUGGAAAAAGCUGGCAAACACUUCUAUCCACAUUAAUGCUAAUGAAUAAUUGCAGAGGAGCUGAAUCUGUAGGUCAAGUAACAAUAAACUAGGGAAUCUGUGCGCCCUGUUUUCUCUGCAGUGGUUCAGCUGAUUUCCCCCCAAAUUAGUCUGACAUUUAAAGGUGUAUUGGAAAUGCAGAAAGUAAAAGUAGUCAUAGUGCCUCGAAACUGAAAAUCCUUGUUGAGCAGGCCCUGGCAAGCUCAGGCACAUCUUCAGGACAGCUUUUCUUAGCAAACAGCUAUGGAGGUUUGGGACAUUUCCCCUUUCUGGCUACAUUUCACAGCAGUUGGAUGCCAGAGGCAGGAUUUGCACCAGAGAGCAGCUCUGGUGUGCAGAGAGAGAUCCCAGUGCAGGGGCAGUAGGGAAGAGCCAGGGAUCACAGCAGCAGGAGAAUUGUUCUGUACACAGGAGUCUGAGCUCUUAGACAAUACACCUGGGAGCCUUUGAUUUCAGGGCAAGAAAUGCCACUGCCUGUGAGGGCUUUUGCCAUGAGGACUUGGUGAGGGCAUUGGCACAGAUCAAAGUAUGGAAGUUGUAGAGACUCUAAAAGCUCUGCUGAUACCAGCAAAUCAAACAGCAUCAGGGAUGUUCCUGAGCACCAAACUCAGCUGUUUCUACUGAUUCUCAUAAUCCUUACAUGGUUUUAGCCUGGGCCAAUGAGUAUCCCAAAAUAUUUCAGGGUGUGGGUUAGGGGAUACAUUACAAAUAGGGAGACUGCUUUCAUGGACUGGGCAUUGGAUGUCCCGUGCCAGCUGGCCUCAGGGGCAGAGACUGGUCCCAGACAUGUUUAAUUUACUAAUGUUAGUGUAAUCACAGUGACUAGGCCUGGCUACUGGACUGAAAAAUCUGUUUUUGCAAACUCUGUUUGGUUUAGACACCAGGAACUGAAGGGACCUUGCUUCCAUCUGUUUCCCUACUGUGCCUCCAAAGGUUACUGCCUCAUACAAAAGGGCCAGAAAGUUUAUUUGCUCUUCAGCAUGACUGGCCACCUUGCAUCUCUACCCCUGACUUAGUAGACCAUUGAUUUUUGUUUUCUGAUAAUGGGAAACAAAUGGGAAGGACUUUGAUGGGAAGGACUUGUAUUUUUUUUCCUGUAAGUGUAACAAGCAAUGUUAUUUUAUGAGGUGAAUGAUGGAAAAAGGAAAUUUCUAAAUCACCUGAUGUUCAUAAUCUCUGAGGUAACAAGACAUAUACAAAUUAGUAUAGAUAAAAUCAUUACUUGGGAAUGCCCUGACUCAUAUGCAGGACCUUGAACUUGGCUUUGUUGAACUUCAUGAGGUUUGCAAGGGCCCACUAAAUCCACUCUAGUCAAGAAGGAUAAAAGUUUAAAAAGCUAAAGGCAGAGAAGCUUCACAUUUUUUAGAGGUUCUGGUUUGUCAAGGCUAUUUCUCUUUUUUAGUUUGUUUUUUUCAGCCCCUCUUAUGGAUUAUGUAAUAUAAAAAAAUCCUUAGCUUUGCCUUUCUUAAGUGUUGCUGUUAGCUGCCAUAGCCCUUUCGUGAUAGUGAAGUGACACUUCACUAUCAAAAAUUGCACAGUGUGUAGUCCUUCAUCUUUUGUUCCCAUCAUGUUGCUGUUGCUUUCCAUCUGUUUGAAGCUUGUUCCAGAAUCAAAUUGCUUGCCUUAAAACAAGGUCCUGUAUUGAACAGGGAGUCCAUCAAGUGAAUGCUUUUAGUCUCAAUAUGUCUGCUACACCCAACUUUCAAAAGAAUUUUCAAGUUGCUUAUGAACAUACUUUAUUUGAUUGUAUGAGGUAACAUAGAACCAUAUUUUAAGAACUGUAAAUGCUGAAAAAUCAGUAGAAGGCCAUGAGCUGAAAUGACUAAUUUUCAAGUAUAUUUAGGACUACAAUCUCCAAAAGAACCAACUGAAAUCUCUGCUUCUAUUUAAUAUGCAUAGUGCCAUAGAUCAACAAAAAUUAUCAUUGUUUUGCUUUCUUUUUACCUGUGUUUGUUUCCAGGAAAAAGAAAUGUGUAAUGUUUUGCUGAACUUGUAAAGAACGAUCCAUUACUGAAUUCUGUUUGCUCUCACUCAUAUUUAGCUUUCUCUCUACGAAGUACUGUGAAAACCAACAAAUAAAUUGCCACUGUGAUUUACAGUAACUCCAAUUAAUAUUUUUGUACCAAUACAGUUUCUAGGGACUGUAUUGUCUCAUGUAGCACUAAAAUAUAUUUAGUAUGUCUUUGUGUUUUGCAAGGCUGGGCUAGAGGCUUGAAAUCCAGCAGUCUUUUUAGCACACCGUAUUUACACUCUUUGGAAACUUUUCAACCUGGUUCACACUCAAUUUUGUCUUUCUCCUUCAUGUAUCUGCGUUGUGGGUGGCAUUCACUGUACUGUGUGUGCAGGAGGGCUUGUGCUAGUAGUGCUCCCUUUUGCACUUGCUGCCAAAGCACCUUGGAUCCGAGUUUGAUUGUAGGUAAACUGUGUAUUCAAGUGUAAAUCAUCUCUCUCUGUGAUGUUGGUGCACACCUGCCAAGUGUCCUUCUGAACCAGUAAUCAGACAUCACAGUCCCUCAACAUGUAUGAAAGCAUUUAUUAAAAAAGUGUUAGCAAGCGUUCCAGAAAUUUCUUUGUGGGAAAGCGAGUUCUUUUGUUCUCCCUCUCUCAGGUGUUACUGAUAAUGACUCAUGUGUUGCUUACAGUCCUGAAAGUACAAUAGCAGUAGUUCAGAGAGCAAAAGGGAGCUCUGCUUUUCUUUAUGAACAGGUGAUGAAAGUUUUUGAGAGAAGGAGGUAGCCCAUCUUAGAAGGAUUUGAACCAAACAGCUGCAGCAGCAAGCUUGACCAAAGGUGAGUGAAGAACCAGAUAUAAAGAGAAAGAUCACAACUUUUAGCUGGCUCUGAUGUUGCCUGCCACUGGUCUGCCAAAGGAAAGAGUGUGGAACUGUGGAAAAGGAGCAUGACUGAUUUAUGCCUGUUUUUAUGCUUGCACCUUCACCUUGACUGUACCAUGCCCAUGUCCAUUAUUGUUUCCUUCAGAGAGAGCAUUUUGUAAGCUUUAUUUUUUUGUCUUUGCUGGAAUUCCUGUUGAUAAGGUGCAUUUGUUCACUGUCUAUUCUUGAUGCCAUGAAGCUGAAGCAAAGGAGAACUUCAGUGUCAGACAGGAAGAUCAUUUUGAGUGACUGACCAGUGAAGCUGCUUCUAGUACUAGGAGACACCUCAUGCUUGUUUAUCAUUGCAUUCACACAAUUGCUUUGAAAGUUUGAUAAAGUUGAACACAACUGGGUUUCUUUCAAUUUACUCAAGCAGAUACAGUAUUUUUUUUCCUAUGGGGGAUUAUUUUGUUUCUUAUAUUUUAUAUUUCAAUCCAUGUAUUUUUUUUUUUUUUUUUGCAGUAUAAGAAGAAGUGUUGAGUGGUAUUCCUUCCAUAAAGAAGUCAUAAUUCAUUUGUGAGAGAUGAGAAUACAUGGAAGAAGCUCCACAGAGAGAUGACCUGUUCAAUGUCAGAAACAAUAUUGACACAGGAACAAAUGGAAUGAUGUGUGAAAUGUGAAGUAAGUGAUCAUUGCUAAGCCAGAAUCCAAACACAUUUAUUUUCAUCUUUGAUUCCCAUGCUUCUAGUCGCAGAGAGCACAAAUUCAAGAUUCAAAGAUUCCGUUCCAGUCAUGUUAUCAAUUACGUUCUGAGAAAAACAGCUGAAAAAUGUGCAGGCUCAUUUACUGUCAGUAGUACUUCUCCUUGCUGAGAUACAACAACCUCUAAGAGACCUGGGAAGUAAUCUUAAAGAAAAGCCAAAGUCAAGUUGCCAAUUACAUCAGGGUUUGUUAGGCUGUGCCAGAGCACCACUGACCCUGUGUAAUUUGUCUAAACAAUAAACAUAAACAGGAAGAGGGGUUUUAAUUAAGCUGAGGAUCAAACAGAGGAUUUCAGUAAUGCAAUGUCUCUCCCAGUCUGCUCUCAGCAGGAUCUUCAGCCCGAUCUCUGAAAGUGAAAUUGGACCCAAAUCGGACAGGGGAAAACUGACUUGCAUGCAAGAGCAAAACUGAAACUGAAGGUCAGGAAAGUGAGAAAGACAUAUGUUUACUUUCACAAGUAAAUGUACCUUAAAAAGACAGAGCCUGACCCUUUCUUAAUAAGCCAGGGCUUAAAAGAAAUCUUGGUUAUGUAGGAUUCUGCAUCAGCAUUUGCAAAUGUGCUCACUCCAGACCAAUUCCAUCAUCUCCAGCUGGUAAACCACCAAUAACAAGGAUAAUAAAUGCUUAAGAUUUCAAGACACAGACUUAUAAUGAACCAGGGAACUAAACUUGGUAAUACUACGUGGAAAUUGAAUCCUACUGUUUCUAAUGAAAAGGGAGUAUGGAGAAAAAAACAAAGGUAGCCUUUUGUACACUAAAGGAUGCAAUGCAUUUAAAACAAAACAUAUUCAAAACAUAAUAAUUUACAUGGAUCCCAUUGGGUGAAGCAUUUAAUAAGAAUAUGUAAAAACCUAAUUCCCUCAGUGUUUACAAUCUGAGAUGAAUCUAAUGAACUGAUGUUAAGAGUCAGUAGACUGUAACUUUGCAAAUUUCUUCAGAAAUGUGACUGAUAUAUUACCAGCUCAUAUGGACACCACAAAAAAGCAUAACUUGCAAAAAAAUAGUCAAUUUCCUUUAAUGACUUGUAAUCAUGCCUCUGUUUGAGACUGUCUAUUUAGUUUUAAUUAACUCUGAUGCUUUUCAGCCAGGGGUCUGUUUUGGGCUGACUCAUCCCUACCUCCCCCUGAAAUUUCAGCCAGAGAUGUUUACAGCUUCCUAGUAUGAAAAGGGAAGAAUAAGUUGUUUUUCAGUGUUAAAUUAUCUUAGAAAUCCAGAUGCUUUUGUGGGGUAGUUAUUUUGUUAUUUGUUUGAUUUUGGCAGGUUUAUUUUUUGGGUUUUUUUUGCUUUUUUUUUGUUUGGCAAGAGGGUGGGCUAUAUGUCAGGUCUGCACUUCUUGUGCCUGUGAAAAUUGACCUAAAUUUGGCCAAGUCAGGAGCCUUUAAAAAAGAAUCUCACUUCUCAUGUUCUGAGGAGUUGUGCUAAAUUUCAACAGUAAAAUAAAACAGUGGGUGGGAGAAUGACAGAGGUUGGAUGAGAAAAUGGGAGAGAGGGGACAUAAACAGGAAACUAGGACUGGCCUUAUGAAGGUGUUGGAUUGGCUGUGUGGGAGUAGAGAAAGAUUUACCCAAACAGUUUGAUGUGUGUGGGGACAAAUAUAUUGGACAAACAAAACAGAAAUGACAGGAUGUAUGGGAAGUGAGAAACUGAGACUGAGCAAGAGAUAUUCCCUAUAGGACUGGAGAGAUUAUCUCCUCUAUCUUCUAGGAUAUUAUAAAAAUAUGGAAGAACUGCUGAGGUUCUAUCAUGACGAAAGUCAUAGAAAAUUAUAGAAUAAAGUAAUAUUUUCCCUCUUCAGUUUUGGCCAGCUUACAGUGAAUAUAGCUUUGGAACAUGCAAGAAAUUGAGGGGGAAACAGGAAUUGAGCUGCUGUUGCUUUAAAAGGUGGAUUACUGACAUAUCUAUAAGAUAUCUAAAUUAUGGUUUUGUAAGUUCAUUGUGGUAAGCUCUGUAUUUCCAAAGGAGACUCAGCUUACUUAAGACUCAGAUUGCAUAAACUUGGUGCCUAAAGACAAAUUACAUCAAUCUCCUCUUGAGUAAGUGUUCUUUUUUGAACUAAAUGAGGAAGCUGGGACCUGUGGAAAACCAGCACCAACUCAGGUAAUUAAAAUCCACCAUAAGGAAUAUAUGCUAAGGGCAAUAAUUAAGGUGGUGCAGCUCACAUUCACUUUGGCAUUUUGCAGCCUUCAAAUGCUUAGAUUUGCAAAUUUCAUUAGUGUUUUUUCAGCCUCCUUUUUGUGCAUUUAAUUAACAUUGUGUAUUGUUUGUAUAGAGGUAGAGCCUGGAAGCCCUAGGCAAGGAUUCCAAGGCUUUGCAGUCACAACACAGAAGAGCUGUCAGAAGCCCAGAUUUUUCAGUUACUGCUGUCUUGGGCUACAUUUGAAAAAACUGAGAUGUAUGAGCUUUGGCUGGGAGCACAAAUAGCAGUGUGUAGUAUACUAGUACACCUGAUUUGUCUACUUAGACCACGUGCUUUUUUGAACUGGAGACAUGUUCCCUUUGCACAAUCUUUGCUGUCCUUUGUUACCACCUUAGAACUCUAAAUUCUGUGCUGAUAAAGAUGUUUAGUAAUAAUUUUUAAUAUAAAACCUUUUAAAAUCUUUAAACCUCAAUGCUUAGAGCUCCCCAGCUAGAUGUUUCAGGCUGAGCGCUGUCAACAAACAAUAGAGAUUGUAAUUUUGUUUUGUUGUAAGUGCUUGUGGUUUUGAAGACACCAAUUCUUUUCCUUCCCACAGAGCUCAAAGUGACUUGUGCAUGCAGUAGUGACUGUGAAAGAUUCUGGCUUCUAUGCAUUUCCUACAGUAUUAGAUAAGCUGCUUGGUUUUGUAGCACGUGAACUAGGUAGAAUUGUCUUCCCUGCAAAUGCUUCAGUGAGUGUCACUCCUUGCCUCAGGCAGGCAGGCCAUCAGGGACAGUCUGUCUGUCUUGUUCUUCAUCCAGCAGUCCCCUUUGACUGGGCUGUGGGAAUUGGGCUUUCUCAGGUCAGGGACCUUGUCUGAGGAGCUCAGUCCCUCUGAAUGCCAGCUGUAGUUCUGCUCCAGCUAUCUUUGGGUCUCCUGGUGCAGAUCUUGGAGGUCAGUGCAUUCUUUGGCAGCUCUGUUUCACCCUUCAUCUUUAAACAUAUUUGGUAUGUUUAAUACAGGGAGGUUUUGUGAUACACUUUGCUUUCUGCAGCAUCCUAGAAGUCUGGAUAAAAGAUUUUUUGAAAAGAAAAAAUAGAUAGCACUAGGCUAAAUAUGUUGUGAUUUGAUUGCAUGAAAGUCUGUAGGCUUACACCUGGAAGGACUCUGGUCUAAUAUGUGUGGCAACAUGGGACUGACAGGAGAAUUUGGCUCAGAUUGAAGGCAUGUGGAUGAACUGCAGGACCAAAACUUUCCAUUCCAAUUGGAAUAAUAAGAAAAGUAAUCUCAUGAGCUCAGACAAACUUUGGUUUCAUCAGCUGCCUUCUUUUGAUCUUCAGUAAAUACCAGCAAUCACACUUUGUAUGAUUACUUUGUGAGACAAGGGAGAAGUGCUGGUGUAGCUAUUUCUAAUGAUGUCCCUCUCUACCACAGAAGGUGACACCACAGCAAACAAAAAUAGUGGGCAUAGCUACCAAAACAGUUCCCUUGCAAUCAAAGUGUAAACAGCACUUUGGCGUUGUGACUUCAUUGCUAUAUAAUGCUUUCUUUGGAAUUGCAUUGCAAGCAAAAAGGCAAAUUACUUUAAAGAAACCCCAAAUUUCUGUGGAGCAGAAGUCCCAAACAUGCUAUUUCUUUGUUGGCCAUCCUGCAGAGCAACCAGCAAACUGCAGCUUAGCCCGUAAACCUCUCAGGAGAACUAAGCUGGCCUUGAUGGAAGCAGAGGCUUUACAAUGAAUCUGGAGAAUUUAGAAACAAAUGGAGAUCAGGUAAGAAGUAAAAGGAGUUAACCAAAAUAGAUAGCAUCACAACAAGAGUAUGUUUAUUUUGUGAAAUAACUGAUUUUUGACAAGGAAAAUGGGAUCUCUUGGGACCUCAGUGAAGUAGUUGGUGUAUUGCCACAAACAUAACUGAGAUAAACAGGUGAAAGUGAGUAUAAGGGUAAGAAGGGUGACAUAAACAGGUGAGGUCAAAGUUUCCUACUUAUUUGGGAUUUUGCAUUAUUGCAUCCUGUGAGCUUGUUAAACUGGUUGGUUUGUGCCAUACUGCCUGUUUUAAACUAACAGCUCAUGAAGGAAAGAUUAAUGGAAAAUAUGCAGGUAAACAGCAAAAGGGGCGAACCCCACUCUGUUUUUGCCAAGCUCUGUCUGGGUUGACAACUAGCAGCUGUCAGGGUGUUGUCAUUGCAUUUGUGUAGGCUGUGCACAGGGGGUUUUUUUGGCUUAUUAGGAUGUAUAAAAUUGUCUGUGACUGUGUGCUUGACAUGGUCUGCUGGUAAGUCCUUGGCAAGUGAAAAUUCUGCUCAGUAUACUGUCUGUAAACCUACAAAACAUCUUUUUUCUACUGUUUUAUAAAGUAGACCAAGACUUAAUUAACUGGUUUUGGAAGCAGUUUGCAGAGUGGAGUUAAAAGAGCAAUCUCUCAUUCCUCACAUCAUGCAAAGAAAUAAUUUCAGCUGCAUUUCUGCUCAUCCUGAAUACCUUCAAACAAUUGUGCUGUUAAAAUAAAACCAAACCAAAAGAGACCUAGAAGGAUGAAGAAGGGGAACACUUUGGAAGUAGAGAACUUUCUAUAUAGGUUUUGAGAACUUGGGUUGCUUGCUGAGUUGUUCUAUUUUUUAAAAGCACUUCAGGUAAUGCAUUUCAGUUUAUUUUCCCUUACUAAGUAAAUCUUGUAACCUACUGUUUUUGUGAUCUUCUUGGUCAUUACAUUACCUUCCAGGGUUUUGGAAAGAAAAUCAGGAAAAGAUAUAAGCGCUGGCAAUCUCUGAUUGGAAUUUGUUUAAUAAUAGCAACCUGCUUACUUCUUUUUCAUCUUUCAACACAAAUCUUCAGUUCUAGAUUUACUUAUUAAGCCUGAGGACCAUCUGCUGAAGGAAAUUUAGCUCCUUUAGUAGGAAGGAACCACAUGCAAUUCCUACUUAGGCUAACAAAAACUUAAGUGGACUUACUAGUGGUUUGAAUAUAGUAGCAUAUAAGCUGAAGAUAAUUUUUUUUAAUAGCUCCAAUUUGUAUAUGUACAUGGUGCAGAACAAGACAGAGGUGAUGAACUCUUGUUAUCCUACUCCCUGGCAUAAUAUAAAUGACUAUCAAGGAUAUUGAGCAGAGGAGGAUUUGGCCCACUCAGCUUAUUAGGUUGUUCUCCUGGGUAUAUUUUCACUGCCUGUUUGUUACAGAGAUUAGUCAUGUAUCUGCAAUGUUGGAUGGUUUUCCUCCAUUUCUGCAAAGGAUGUGCUGCUCCCAGUGGAAAUAAAUAAAUAAGCACAGUAA